AACGAACGCUGGCGGCAGGCUUAACACAUGCAAGUCGAACGCAUCCUUCGGGGUGAGUGGCAGACGGGUGAGUAACGCGUGGGAACGUGCCCUUCAGUUCGGGAUAACCCAGGGAAACUUGGGCUAAUACCGGAUACGUGCGAGAGCAGAAAGAUUUAUCGCCGAAGGAUCGGCCCGCGUCUGAUUAGCUAGUUGGUGGGGUAAUGGCCCACCAAGGCGACGAUCAGUAGCUGGUCUGAGAGGAUGAUCAGCCACAUUGGGACUGAGACACGGCCCAAACUCCUACGGGAGGCAGCAGUGGGGAAUAUUGGACAAUGGGCGCAAGCCUGAUCCAGCCAUGCCGCGUGGGUGAUGAAGGCCUUAGGGUUGUAAAGCUCUUUCGUCCGGGACGAUAAUGACGGUACCGGAAGAAGAAGCCCCGGCUAACUUCGUGCUAGCAGCCGCGGUAA
rnacentral:rRNA from 1 species